rnacentral:misc_RNA from 1 species
GAUGAAGAACGUAGCGAAAUGCGAUAAGUAAUGUGAAUUGCAGAAUUCAGUGAAUCAUCGAAUUUUGAACGCACAUUGCGCCCGCCAGUAUUCUGGCGGGCAUGCCUGUUCGAGCGUCAUUACAACCCUCAGGCCCCCGGGCCUGGCGUUGGGGAUCGGCGGAAGCCCCCUGCGGGCACAACGCCGUCCCCCAAAUACAGUGGCGGUCCCGCCGCAGCUUCCAUUGCGUAGUAGCUAACACCUCGCAACUGGAGAGCGGCGCGGCCACGCCGUAAAACACCCAACUUCUGAAUGUUGACCUCGAAUCAGGUAGGAAUACCCGCUGAACUUAAGCAUAUCAAUAAGCGGAGGA